GAUGAACGCUAGCUACAGGCUUAACACAUGCAAGUCGAGGGGAAACGGCAUCGCAAGCUUGCUUUUGAUGGGCGUCGACCGGCGCACGGGUGAGUAACGCGUAUCCAACCUGCCCAUCACUUGGGAAUAACCUUGCGAAAGUAAGACUAAUGCCCAAUGACAUCCCACGAAGGCAUCCGAAUGGGAUUAAAGAUUUAUCGGUGAUGGAUGGGGAUGCGUCUGAUUAGCUUGUUGGCGGGGUGACGGCCCACCAAGGCAACGAUCAGUAGGGGUUCUGAGAGGAAGGUCCCCCACAUUGGAACUGAGACACGGGCCAAACUCCUACGGGAGGCAGCAGUGAGGAAUAUUGGUCAAUGAGCGAGAGCCUGAACCAGCCAAGUAGCGUGCAGGAUGACGGCCCUAUGGGUUGUAAACUGCUUUUAUAGGGAAUAAAGUGGGUCACGUGUGACUUUUUGCAUGUACCUUAUGAAUAAGGACCGGCUAAUUCCGUG
rnacentral:rRNA from 1 species